GACGUAGGGUGCAAGCGUUGUCCGGAUUUAUUGGGCGUAAAGAGCUCGUAGGCGGCUUGUUGCGUCGACUGUGAAAACCCGCGGCUUAACCGCGGGCUUGCAGUUGAUACGGGCAGGCUAGAGUUCGGUAGGGGAGACUGGAAUUCCUGGUGUAGCGGUGAAAUGCGCAGAUAUCAGGAGGAACACCGAUGGCGAAGGCAGGUCUCUGGGCCACUACUGACGCUGAGAAGCGAAAGCGUGGGGAGCGAACAGG
rnacentral:rRNA from 1 species